rnacentral:rRNA from 1 species
UACGUAGGGGCCAAGCGUUGUCCGGAUUUAUUGGGCGUAAAGAGCUCGUAGGCGGUUCGGCAAGUCAGCUGUGAAAUCUCCACGCUCAACGUGGAGGGGUCAGCUGAUACUGCUGUGACUCGAGUCCGGUAGGGGAGUGUGGAAUUCCCGGUGUAGCGGUGAAAUGCGCAGAUAUCAGGAGGAACACCGGUGGCGAAGGCGGGACUCUGGGCCGAUACUGACGCUGAGGAGCGAAAGCGUGGGGAGCAAACAGG